CUUCAGCGAACCGAGCCACAGCGGCCGGCCGGCCGCGCGCUCCUGGCCGUACGUGGCGAGGAGCGCCUGCGCCUC
rnacentral:antisense_RNA from 1 species